AGAAUGUGGAUUAAGGCAGGCCAUGAUUAAUUUACAGCUACUUCUAAAUUGCGUUACAGCUACUCCUAGGCUAUAUUACGACUACUCCUACUCCUCUAAUAGUUCCACAUCGGAUGAAAAAAUAACUCUGAUUAGAAUAUACAAGGCCUCGCAUGCUAGUAAUAAUAACUGAGUUUAAACAUUCUAGACCGAUAGUUUGGACCCAACAAAUUAUUAUUACUAGUAGUUCGGGUCGUUAUAUCAGAUU
rnacentral:lncRNA from 1 species